GAAGCAAAGCAAAAGCCAAGAGGUCCA
rnacentral:piRNA from 1 species